CAUGCAAGUCGAGCGAAUGGAUUAAGAGCUUGCUCUUAUGAAGUUAGCGGCGGACGGGUGAGUAACACGUGGGUAACCUGCCCAUAAGACUGGGAUAACUCCGGGAAACCGGGGCUAAUACCGGAUAACAUUUUGAACCGCAUGGUUCGAAAUUGAAAGGCGGCUUCGGCUGUCACUUAUGGAUGGACCCGCGUCGCAUUAGCUAGUUGGUGAGGUAACGGCUCACCAAGGCAACGAUGCGUAGCCGACCUGAGAGGGUGAUCGGCCACACUGGGACUGAGACACGGCCCAGACUCCUACGGGAGGCAGCAGUAGGGAAUCUUCCGCAAUGGACGAAAGUCUGACGGAGCAACGCCGCGUGAGUGAUGAAGGCUUUCGGGUCGUAAAACUCUGUUGUUAGGGAAGAACAAGUGCUAG
rnacentral:rRNA from 1 species